rnacentral:rRNA from 1 species
AAUUGGAGGGCAAGUCUGGUGCCAGCAGCCGCGGUAAUUCCAGCUCCAAUAGCGUAUAUUAAAGUUGUUGCAGUUAAAAAGCUCGUAGUUGAAUUUCGGGAUUGACGUGAUGGUCGUGCCUUAAGGGGUAUGAACUGUCGCAGUUGAUUUCUCACCUUCUGGAGAAGCAUGAUGUCCUUAAUUGGGUGUCAUGUGGAACCAGGACCUUUACCUUGAAAAAAUUAGAGUGUUUAAAGCAGGCAUUUUGCUCGAAUACAUUAGCAUGGAAUAAUAGAAUAGGACGGCAUGGUUCUAUUUUGUUGGUCUCUAGGAUCACCGUAAUGAUUAAUAGGGAUAGUUGGGGGCAUUAGUAUUCAAUUGUCAGAGGUGAAAUUCUUGGAUUUAUUGAAGACUAACUACUGCGAAAGCAUUUGCCAAGGAUGUUUUCAUUAAUCAAGAACGAAAGUUAGGGGAUCGAAGACGAUCAGAUACCGUCGUAGUCUUAACCAUAAACUAUGCCGACUAGGAAUCAGACGAUGUUAAUUUUUUAAUGACUCGUUUGGCACCUUACGGGAAACCAAAGUGU